rnacentral:lncRNA from 1 species
UUUUUUCAUGAUUCAUUCAAAGAGCACCAAUUCUAUGCAACAAUGAGACUCUACUCAUUCAAUGGUUAAAAUAUUUUCUCUGAACAUCAUUUUAAGAUGGUGGGGUUCCAUAUGCUUUUUCUUGUCCAGUUACUGUUCAUAGUUUGAAGACUUAAAAACAGCAUGGAUUCAAAUAAUACUUGUCUCUCUGCUUGGUUGGAGGCUAUUUCUUGACUUAUUUCAGUCACUCAGAGGCGCUUUUUUUGCCCCUUUUUUAAUGCUGGAGAGUUUGAAACCAAGUCCUCAUAUAUGUUAAGCAUGCACUCUAGUACCAAGCUACUCCCACAGCCUUAAGAAAUAUUGGUAACCAACUGGAAUUUCCAGGUACUAUGUUAUAUUCUGAAAAUGGGAGGUAAUAUUGCUAUAGUCCCUGUUCUUAUAGGGCUCACAGUGUCAAGUGAUUUUAGUGAGAUGAGGUCUCGAGUUUAUGUCCUAACUAGAAUAAAUUUGCCUUUUUUUUUUCAUCAUUUAAAACAGUGUUUCUCAACCUGUAGAUCGUGACCCCUUUGGGGAGGGGUUGCCUAAACUAAGACCAUAGGAAUUUUUUGUUUACAUUAUGAUUUAUUUACAUUAUAAUUCAUAAUAGUAGCAAAAAUGAUGAAAUGAUGAAAAUAAUUUUGUUGUUGGGGUCAGUACAGCAUAAGGAACUGUAUUAAACGAUCACAGUAUUAGGAAGGUUGAGAACCACUGACUUAAAGUCGGCUUUCUUAGGGUUUUUUGUUAGUAAAAUUUUUGGUUCUAUUUGCAAGUGCAAACCACUUAACUAAUUUGUGAUCUCCAGUUCUUGGCUGGAGAGGCCUUAUUUUUGGUGAUAUAUUUAAUUUUGGUGGACUUGGGUUCUUUGCUUACAUGUUUCCCAGAUUUUAAAGCAAAGAGAAAGCACAAAUGUUUUAUUGUGGAAGAAGAAGGCUUUCUAACACUAGUGAUUAUAUGGAGCAGGGGUGAACCUUAGCUACUCGGCAUUUGGUUUGGUUUGGUUCUUUUCCUUUUCCUUUUCCUUUUCCCUUUUUUUUGAGGCAGGAUCUUACUAUGUAGCCUUUGCUGCCUCUGCUCCCCGGGCCUGGGAUCAAAGGUAUGUGCCACCAUACCAGUGUGUUAUAAGGAUUCCUAGGAAAACUUCAAAAGGAAGCUAUUGUAGCUUGUUUUUUUUUUUAAUUACUGUUAUUUAUUUAUUAUGUUAUUUAAUUAUGAAAACAAGCUCCAAACUGAAGUGGCUCUGAGGUAAAUCAGGUGUGAUUUUUGCAUUAGUUUAGAAAAUAUGUAAGUGAAAGGUGACUAAUGUUACCAUUUCUAAAAUAUUGUCCUAAACAAACAACUUAGAACAUUUUAUUUCAGCUCAUGAAUGGCUGUUCUAAAUCUGUUGUAUGUUAGACAUACUCUGAACUACCUCUUUACUUAAUGGGGAAGUUUCCUUAAUAAAAGUUUGACAAUU